rnacentral:rRNA from 1 species
GACGAACGCUGGCGGCGUGCUUAACACAUGCAAGUCGAACGGUGAAGCGCCUUCCUUUUUGGUGGGUGUGGAUGAGUGGCGAACGGGUGAGUAACACGUGAGUAACCUGCCCCCUUCUUCUGGAUAACCGCAUGAAAGUGUGGCUAAUACGGGAUAUUCUGGGUCUGUCGCAUGAUGGGUCUGGGAAAGAUAUUGUUUCGGUGGGGGAUGGGCUCGCGGCCUAUCAGCUUGUUGGUGGGGUGAUGGCCUACCAAGGCGGUGACGGGUAGCCGGCCUGAGAGGGUGGACGGUCACACUGGGACUGAGACACGGCCCAGACUCCUACGGGAGGCAGCAGUGGGGAAUAUUGCACAAUGGGCGCAAGCCUGAUGCAGCGACGCCGCGUGAGGGAUGGAGGCCUUCGGGUUGUGAACCUCUUUCGCCAGUGAAGCAGGCCUGCCUCGUUUGUGGGUGGGUGGACGGUAGCUGGAUAAGAAACGCCGGCUAACUACGU